CGCUAGGACGAACGCUGGCGGCGUGCCUAACACAUGCAAGUCGAGCGAGGAGAUUCCUCGGGAUGAUCCUAGCGGCGGACGGGUGAGUAACACGUGGGCAACCUGCCUCAUAGAGAGGAAUAGCCUUCCGAAAGGGAGAUUAAUACCUCAUAACAUUGCAGUUUCGCAUGGAACAGCAAUUAAAGGAGCAAUCCACUAUGAGAUGGGCCCGCGGCGCAUUAGCUAGUUGGUGAGGUAACGGCUCACCAAGGCGACGAUGCGUAGCCGACCUGAGAGGGUGAUCGGCCACAUUGGGACUGAGACACGGCCCAGACUCCUACGGGAGGCAGCAGUGGGGAAUAUUGCACAAUGGGGGAAACCCUGAUGCAAGCAACGCCGCGUGAGUGAUGACGGCCUUCGGGUUGUAAAGCUCUGUCUUCAGGGACGAUAAUGACGGUACCUGAGGAGGAAGCCACGGCUAACUACGUGCCAGCCGCUGC
rnacentral:rRNA from 1 species